GGGCCAUAGCUCAGUGGUUAGGGCAUCUGCCUUGCAUGCAGAAGGUCACAGGUUGAAUCCUUGACAUCUCCA